rnacentral:rRNA from 1 species
CCUACGGGAGGCAGCAGUGAGGAAUAUUGGUCAAUGGGCGGGAGCCUGAACCAGCCAAGUCGCGUGAGGGAAGACGGUCCUAUGGAUUGUAAACCUCUUUAGUCGGGAGCAAUGCCGGGCACGCGUGCCCGGAGGGAGAGUACCCGCAGAAUAAGCAUCGGCUAACUCCGUGCCAGCAGCCGCGGUAAUACGGAGGAUGCGAGCGUUAUCCGGAUUCAUUGGGUUUAAAGGGUGCGCAGGCGGGCCUUUAAGCCGGCGGUGAAAUCGCGGGGCUCAACCCCGCCGAGCCGUCGGAACUGGGGGCCGUGAGUGCGGCGGAGGCAUGCGGAAUGCGCGGUGUAGCGGUGAAAUGCAUAGAUAUCGCGCAGAACCCCGAUUGCGAAGGCAGCAUACCGGUGCACAACUGACGCUCAGGCACGAAAGCGUGGGUAUCGAACAGGAUUAGAUACCCGGGUAGUC